rnacentral:misc_RNA from 1 species
AGGACUCAGGACCAGAGUUCUACCCUCAACAAUGACAGAAGUAUAUGAUUUUGACCGGUCCUCGUGGGAUACUAAAGGUUCUUUGGCACCUAUCCUGCCCACCACUUAUCCGGAUGGUAGGUUGAUUCCUCAGGUCAGGGUAAUAGAUCCUGGCCUUGGCGAUAGAAAAGAUGAGUGCUUCAUGUAUAUCUUCCUUUUAGGUAUAAUAGAAGAUAACGAUGAUCUUGGCCCUCCAAUUGGUAGAUCAUUCGGCUCAUUACCGCUAGGAGUCGGUCGUACAGCCGCAAGACCUGAGGAGCUAUUAAAAGAAGCCACGCUCUUGGAUAUUGUAGUACGAAGAACUGCAAGUGUCAAGGAGCAGUUAGUAUUUUACAACAACACACCGCUGCAUGUCCUAACCCCGUGGCGAAAAGUUCUUACUAAUGGGAGUGUGUUUAGUGCUAAUCAAGUUUGCAAUGCUGUUAACUUAAUCCCACUAGACACAGCUCAGAGAUUCCGAGUAGUGUACAUGAGUAUUACUAGACUGUCAGAUGAUGGAUGUUACAGGAUCCCUCGCGGAAUGUUUGAUUUCCGAUGUAAAAAUGCAUUGGCAUUCAACAUCUUGGUAACCAUACAGGUUGAAGGAGACUUUUGUUCAAACCGAGGGAACUUGAGCAUGUUCAAAGAUCAGCAAGCAACUUUCAUGGUACACAUUGGCAACUUCAGUCGUAAGAAGAACCAGGCUUAUUCAGCUGAUUACUGUAAGUUGAAAAUUGAGAAAAUGGGACUGGUGUUCGCCCUUGGUGGAAUUGGAGGGACAAGCCUUCACAUCAGGUGUACUGGCAAAAUGAGCAAAACUCUGAAUGCACAAUUGGGAUUCAAGAAAAUAUUAUGCUACCCUCUAAUGGAAAUCAACGAAGAUCUCAACCGAAUGUUAUGGAGAUUGGAAUGCAAGAUCGUAAGAAUACAAGCUGUAUUGCAACCAUCAGUACCGCAAGAAUUCAGAAUUUACAAUGAUGUUAUCAUCAGUGAUGACCAAGGUCUUUUCAAAAUUCUUUAAAUUCCCAGUUCUUGGCAUAGAGUAUAAUGAUAUAGACUGAAGCACUCACUUAACUAUUCUCAUACAGGUUAAUAUUCAAGAAUAUCAGCAUUAAUUAGCUUUAGUCUGUUUCCAAUGUUGCAGGUCUGCUACAUAGCUUGAGUGGAACCUUAACUGUUUGCACCUUACUGAUUAUACAGACCCUCGGAAAUCAUCCAAUCAGGGUAAUCAAAGUUCCAGAUAAGGUCAUACAUCAUCUGAUAGCAAUAUUGGUAGCCACUUGAAUCUACGGCCUCCAAACCAAGGGUGGGGAUUUCAACAGCUGCAUUACCGUUCUUCUGCUCACCCAUAGAUCGCUGCUUCCUACUUUAUUCUUCGGAGAUUUGUGCACCUUUCAAAUAGUCUCUUAUUAUUGGAAAUUAAUCAAAA